AGUUUUGGUCCUAAACUUGCCCUUGUUUUUUAUCAAAAUUAUACAUGCAAGCCUCCGCACACCAGUGAGAAUGCCCACACACCCCCUAAACAGCGAACCGGAGCGGGUAUCAGGAUACAACACCAAUUUUAGCCAAAGACACCCUGCCUAUGCCACACCCACACGGGUUUUCAGCAGUAAUUAACAUUAAAACAUGAGCGCUUUAAAGCUCGACUUAGUUAUGGUAAACAAGGCCGGUAAAUUUCGUGCCAGCCACCGCGGUUAUACGAAAGGCCGAAAACAACGGCCCACGGCGUAAAGCGUGACUGGGGCACGAACCAUUAAAGGGACACAACAGCCAAGUUGUAAAACACUACUGCACGUUAGAGCCUCAAUAAAACACCUUUAAUACACCUCACCUCACGAAAGCUAAGAAACAAACUGGGAUUAGAUACCCCACUAUGCUUAGCCCUAAACACAGAUAGCACACAAUACAAUACUAUCCGCCAGAGAACUACAAGCGAAAAGCUCGAAACUCCAAGGACUUGGCGGUGCUUCAAACCAGCCUAGAGGAGCCUGUCCUAUAAUCGAUACCCCGCGUUUUACCUUACCCCUCCUAGUCAAUCAGCCUAUAUACCGCCGUCGCCAGCCUACCCUGUGAAAGAAACAAAGUGGGCAAAAGAGUCUAUAACUAAUACGUCCGGUCAAGGUGUAGCAAACGGAGCGGAAGAGAUGGGCUACAUUUCUUCAAAGAAGAAACACGAAUAGUAUGCUGAAACACACACUUAAAGGCGGAUUUAGUAGUAAAAUAAACAAGAACACUUAUCUUAAACCUGCUCUGAAGCGCGCACACACCGCCCGUCACCCUCAUCACAUGUAAUAUAACAAAAAAU
rnacentral:ncRNA from 1 species